rnacentral:rRNA from 1 species
CCUACGGGUGGCAGCAGUGAGGAAUAUUGGUCAAUGGACGCAAGUCUGAACCAGCCAUGCCGCGUGCAGGAAGACGGCUCUAUGAAUUGUAAACUGCUUUUGCACGAGAGAAAACGCAGCUACGCGUAUCUGUCUGAAAGUAUCGUACGAAUAAGGAUCGGCUAACUCCGUGCCAGCAGCCGCGGUAAUACGGAGGAUUCCAGCGUUAUCCGGACUUAUUGGGUUUAAAGGGUGCGUAGGCGGUCGGAUAAGUUAGAGGUGAAAUCCCGACGCUGAACUUCGGAAUUGCCUCUGAUACUGUUCGGCUUGAGUGUAGGUGAGGUAGGCGGAAUGACUGGUGUAGCGGUGAAAUGCGUAGAGAUCA